GCAGUGGUUGGUGCCUAGUUGGCUUGGUUAGAGUCUAUGGGAUCUGUGGUUUGCUGCAGUUUGUAGUUUACGGUCUUCUCCAGGGGAGCUGAGUAACAGACAGCCUGCAUUUGAGCCAGCUGCAGCUUUCUGCUUUUAAUCACAGCUGAUGGACAGUUAACUGCAGAGACUUAACAAUGGAAGCAGCCAAUGCUGAGGAAAGUCCAGGGACUAUAAAAGCAAAGAAAUAAAGAGCAUUUAGAAAAAAAAAAAUGUUUUUAUAGGGUGAGAUGAAGGAAGUACAAUUUUCUCUUUACAUUUAGGGAAAUUCGAUCUGAAUUGAUCUCUUACAGAACUAAUUUAUACACCACAUGUCUUUAAAAGGUCAGGCAAAAUCGUCUUGCACAAACUUGAUAGUUUGCAUGAGUUACUAUAUGUUUUCAUGCCCGCACAGAUUGUUGUUGACUCAAUACAACACAUCCAAAAAAACCUCCACUAGCUAUUAAAACCAGGCACGGGACAGAGAAAUACAGUUUCUAUAAUGCAUAAAAUCCGACUAAAAAUAAACAGGCAUGAAAAGGACUUGAUGCAGAAGCUGUGGGAUAUUUCCUAAUCUUGAACAGGUACCCAAUGGAAAUUACCUAUUGAUGAAGUGUUGCCAGACAGAAGAAAAGAUCUGAGGAUUAGCGCUGCAGCUGGAGGACUGGUGAAAGAGCGAUAUGAAAAUAGAGGGCAAGGGAAGGGAGAGGAGACUGUGCAGGCAUUUGAAAUUCAGAGACACUCAUUAAAUGAGAUGACAUAGAGGAGAGAUGCAUGGAUGAGUUGUGUGACCCAAAAAAACAUAUUCCAACAGGUCAAAAUGAAGGAAGGGAUCACUAGUGGACGAGAAGCUGAGCUGAAGAACAGGUGUAAAUCACUGAAAAGAAUGGGCAAAGAACAGGCAGAAAUAGAAGAGUUAUUUUCUGGAAAAAAAACAGGAGUUUUUUUCCUCUCUAAAAAAGGGGGGAAAUGGAGAUAGCUAGGGAACACAGCAGGAGAGAUAACAAUGUAAUAUAGGAGACUGAAUUACAGAAAUAUAAAUAUAUUGAUCAGGGAGACCUCUGAAAUCAGUUCACUUGCAUAGUUGGAGGAAGAUUUUUUAACAGUUGAUCAGGUCAGCAAUGGCUUUGUCUAGCUGAGCCUUGAAAACCUUCAACGAUGAAGUCAGUCUUUCUGUCCUGAUGCUGCACCACACUCUGAGCAAAGACAUUUUUUUCAGUAUCCAGUUGGAAGUUCUCACAGUGCACCAUAGCUCCUUUCCAUCUUCACACCACUUUGCUGGACUUUUCAGGUUUCUCAACAUCCCUUUUGAGACAGAGAGUGGGUGAAGCAGAACACUGCAUUCCAGGUGGCAUCUUAUAGAGUGACCAAGAAUCUGGAAGGAAGGGGCUGAACAUUAAUAUUAACACCAGGGAGCAACAAGUCAACACGAGUGAAGUUUCCUCUUUAACACACAAGAGUCACAAGAGUAAGCUUAGGGAAAAAAACAACCAUACCCCAAGAGGAAAGAGUUCAUGUUUCUAACAAAAUAAUCAAGAAAAGAAUCAAGAGAGAAGAAAAAAUAAUCUACAAACUAAGAUGGAAGCUGAGAAGACAUCUCAGCAGGAGAAAAUGAGCAGCAAACACAAAAUCAUGUAAUGGAUGGAUCAACAAGUGGUAGGCCAGAAAAAGGACUGCCCAACAGGCUUGACACAAAGACUCAUUGACUCACCAUUGUUGCGAGGCCACUCCUUAUCAUUCGGUUACUCAAGAUAUUUGAAUCUUGAAGAGGUCAUGAAAACUGGAAAAGUUUCCUGAGGACUGGCAGAAAACAAAUGUUACUCUUGUCUUCAAGCAAGUCAAGUUGUAGGUUCGAAGGAGCUACAGAUAAGCCAAUCUCACUUUGAUCCAAGUGAAAGUGAUGGAGCAAAUAGUCCUGGAAAUCGUUUCCAAACACAAGAAGGUUAAGAAUGUUAUUGGGACUAGUCAACAGGGAUUUACGGAGGGAAAUUCAAACUUAAAUGACUGGAGAGUCUUCCACAAUUAAAUGACUGGCUCGUUGGAUAGAGGGGAGCAGUAAAUACAGUUUGUGCUGACUUUAGUGGGGCUCUUGAUGUUUUCUCCAAUGACUUCCUGGUAGAUCAGCUGAUGAAGUAUGGGCCAGCUAAGUGGGACGGUGAGGUGGAUUGAAAACAAGCUGAACUGAUGUUCUCAAAAGUGUUUUGAUCUGUGGAAAAAAGCCCACCUGAAGACUAAUAAUUAGUAUGUGGUUUACCCCACGGUUCAUUACUGGAGCCCGUACUAUUCAGUAAUAGUCUUCAUUAAUGACCUCCAUUAUUGAACAAUGUGCACCUUUGGCAGGUUGGCAGAUGAUACCAAACUGAGGGUCGUGGCUGAAACACCAGGGGGACCAGGCUGGAGAACUGGCCAACAGUAACAUAAUGAAAUUCAACAAAGAGAAAUCAAAAGUCCUAAGCUGGAGGAGGAAUAACCCAUGCACUAGUACAAAGUGCUCCUGCAGCAAAGAAGACCAGCAACAUGCUGUGGUGCUGAUUGUUCCCCUUUGCUGAGCAACAGGGAGAAUACACCCGGAGUGCUGUGUCCAGUCCCAGGUUCCCCAGU